rnacentral:lncRNA from 1 species
AUUUAACCUUCAGUGGAAGGUAGAUAAGUCAUUCUUAUCAUUCAUACAAGAUUUCGUCGAUUAUUUUUGCUGAGAAAAAAAGUGACCUUUUUUAACUUAUUGAAAGGUAACGUUAUUGUCCAUUAAUCUUGUGUCUCAUUGCUUAUCUGUUAAACGUAGUAGGAUACCACAUUGCAAUGUUAUAUUUAUUUCAACCAAUCUAACUCAUAAAAACUUAUGGUCAGGACAUGUUUUGUACCUCCCCCUUUUUCCUCAAAUCCAU